UACGAAGGGGGCUAGCGUUGCUCGGAAUCACUGGGCGUAAAGGGCGCGUAGGCGGACUUUUAAGUCAGGGGUGAAAUCCCACGGCUCACCCGUGGAACUGCUGGGCAUACUGGCGAUCUUGGGCCAACUAGGGGCAACUGGAACAAGCGGUGGAGCGGUGAAAUGCGUAGAUAUCGCUUGGAACGCCAAAGGUGAAAACAGGUUGCUGGGGUUGUGCCGACGCUGAGACACGAAAGCCAGAGGAGCAAACGGG
rnacentral:rRNA from 1 species